CAACCCUCUCCCUUAAGGCACUUCAGCUAAUUGCUUUCUCAUUUGGUGAUAGGAAUGAGUGAAAACUAGAGAGAAGAGUAAGAGAGAAGUUAGAGAGAAAGAGAGAACAUCAUCUUAAUCUUUUCAUCUUUUCUUCUCACAAAAACUGAAUCUUGACCUUGAUCACCUCUAAACACCAUCAAGAACUCAUCUUUUGUCUUUCGUUCCUUCACAAAAUAGUUAGCAUUCAAGGUGAAGAACACCUUGUUGAUUUCGUUAUGAGGAGCUAAAGCUUGGAAGGAAAGCGUUCAAGGUAAGGGCACUUCGGGUCUUGGACUUUAGCGUGCAAAAUUGUCUACUAAGAUUGUAUGAAACUUGUAUGAUAAAUGAUGAGCAUGCUAAUGCCAUGAGAAACUAAUGGAGAUGGAUUUAGUAUGAUAUAUGAACCUUAUAAUCAUGUAAAGGGACUAAAAUGUUAAGACUUGGGCUAAAAAUCAAGUUAAGAAAAGGUAUGAAACGCGAAAGAGGUACAGGACCGCGAUGCAUGUGCAUGGGUAAGUGGCGCACAUGUGUGGGAGACAUGUAGCUAUGGCUCAUGUGCGUGGGUAGAUGGCGCACAUGCAUGGGGCUACUGUCCCUUCAACACCAAGUGACGUCUUUUGCUACUUUUGAAUUGUUUUGUAGGCACCUAUGGUUAAGGGUUGUAUCAUUGAAUUUUACGCAUGAUAUACAUGAAUUUUAUGAGUUAAGAAUGCAUGAUUAACAUGAGAAAUUUAUUAUGAACAUGAUGAGUUAAGGAUGGCUUAUAUGCUUAGAUGUUUAAAUAACAUGAAUACGAAUGAUGUAGUGCUUGCAUGCCUUGAUGUUUGAGAACAAGAAUACUUGAUGAACAUAACAUGCUGAACCUUAGAAUAUCUAUGAGGAGUAUAUGUCUUGCUUUAAGUUCACAUGAUGAUUAUGAAGUAUGCUUGAUAGUUAUCAAUUUGUAUGCGAUGCAUGAGUGAUGUUGAUCGAUCGAGAAUCGAAUGUGAAACCUAAGAUGGUCGUGAUGGAAUGGAUGUGGAGGUUUUCGAUCGUGGCGGGGUCGGGCAGCAGCGUCAUGGUGCUGAUCAUCGUCAUCCAUCCACACUGUUCUGUGACAGGAUCUCAGGGAUGGUGACAUAUAGUCAGGUAAGAUAAGUGUUUUCGCCUUUUAGGAGAUUGAUUUCUGUUUAUGUUCAACAACAACCAAAGCGUGCAAGAAAGUCAUAGUUCAGUUUGGUGUGGUUUUCAAAUUCACAUUCUGCUUGGGAGAGGCUUUCGACGGUGCAUGGGAGGAUUACAGGUGGUGCUCGUAUGUCUGCGUUAUGGCUCGUUUUCCUUUCAAAGGGCAGCGCAAACGUUCAUGUAUUCCUACCGUGAUGGAGGUGCAGCCUACUGUGAUGGAGGUGGAUCCUAUUGUAAUGCAGGUGGAGCCUACAGUGAUGGAAGUGGAGAAUGCAUCAACACCGGUUGCGGUAGAUUUUGGGAGUCUUGUUGUGACUACGGUGGAGUCUGCUUUGGAUAUAGAGGGUGUGUCAGGUGGUUUGGAUGUUCCUUCUUCUUUGGCUCUUGAAGGAGAUGUUGUGGGGGUGUUCAUUGGCUAGGCCUUGGAUUCCAGAGGAGCGCAUUCCGGAUGCAUUUCUUUUUCCAGAAACCUAUGUUAGCGUAGGUGCUUCUGAAAUUCCUAUUAAUGAGAUGUUAACCUUGUUUGGCUCCGGGGGUGACUCCUCGAUGAAUGAGGAGGAUGAUUCUUCGUUUUUGGCUUUGUUCGCGAAGUCUCUGGUUGACUUGCGGUUGAUUCGAGGUGUAAGUGAUUUGUAUUAGUAUAUUAUUGAUGCUGAUCAGGAAAAAUUUUAUGUAGGGCCUGAUUCUUCUGUUGUGCUGGAUAUUAUGGAUUGGACUACCGAUGGGGUUUGGCUACCUAUGUCGUUUUUAAGGAUUUUGAGGCGAGAAUGGAUGCUUUGCGACGCGGGGACUAUGCGCCUUUUGAGAGGCGUGAUAUUCAAAUGUCUUUCUAGUGGUUUAUACCUUGAGAUAUACAUAAAUCUUUAUUGUACAUGUUGAUGUGUCACUAUGGAGGGCAGGGGCAAUGUCACAGAAAGAACAUUAAUUAAAGUGAUAAACUGUAAAACUGAUUUUAUGUUAAUGGACGUGUCAGACUGUGGGGGAAAUGUAAUGCAAAGAGAAACAAAAUUAAAGUGAUAAACAAUAAAAAAGAUUAUAUUAGCAUAACAUUUUAUGGCAACAACCCCUUACUUCGAACGAACAUUCGUCAAUGCUUGCUCACACCUCUCGAAGAAAAUGGAGAUAGAGCACUUCACAUAAGACUUAGGAGUGUGUACACUAAAAGAG
rnacentral:lncRNA from 1 species